GGUUGUGGCUCAGUGGUAGAGUGCUCGCCUAGCACGUGCAAGGCACUGGGUUUGAUCCUCAGCACCA
rnacentral:tRNA from 1 species